rnacentral:rRNA from 2 species
UUGGGCGAGAGUAGUAGUGCUUUGGCGAGAGUAGUACUAGGAUGGGUGACCUCCUGGGAAGUCCUCGUGUUGCACCUC